GUGCUUGCUUCAGCAGCACAUAUACUAAAAUUGGAAAGAUACAAAAUUAGCAUGAUCCCUGAACAAGAAUGACACACAAAUUUGUGAAGCAUUCCAUAUUUUU